rnacentral:rRNA from 1 species
GGUGCGGAAUAGCCCAGGGAAACUUGGAGUAAUACCGUAUACGCCCGAAAGGGGAAAGAAUUUCGCUAUAGGAUGGGCCCGCGUAGGAUUAGCUAGUUGGUGAGGUAAUGGCUCACCAAGGCGACGAUCCUUAGCUGGUUUGAGAGAACGACCAGCCACACUGGGACUGAGACACGGCCCAGACUCCUACGGGAGGCAGCAGUGGGGAAUAUUGGACAAUGGGCGCAAGCCUGAUCCAGCCAUGCCGCGUGAGUGAUGAAGGCCUUAGGGUUGUAAAGCUCUUUUGGCGGGGACGAUAAUGACGGUACCCGCAGAAUAAGUCCCGGCUAACUUCGUGCCAGCAGCCGCGGUAAUACGAAGGGGACUAGCGUUGUUCGGAAUCACUGGGCGUAAAGCGCACGUAGGCGGAUAUGUCAGUCAGGGGUGAAAUCCCGGGGCUCAACCUCGGAACUGCCNUUG